UACGUAGGGUGCAAGCGUUUGUCCCGGGAAUUAUUGGGCGUAAAGAGCUCGUAGGCGGUCCGUCACGUCCGCUGUGAAAACCCAGGGGCUCAACCCUGGGCUUGCAGUGGAUACGGGCAGACUAGAGGUAGGUAGGGGAGAAUGGAAUUCCCGGUGUAGCGGUGAAAUGCGCAGAUAUCGGGAAGGAACACCGGUGGCGAAGGCGGUUCUCUGGGCCUUACC
rnacentral:rRNA from 1 species